rnacentral:lncRNA from 1 species
CACGUUAUUCCAUAACAGUCCAAAAUACAAAAAUCAGCUCCAAGAUUAUACCUUUUUCUCCCAAUCCAACCCUAACCUAAUUCAACAGUAAUUGAAUAAGAGAAACCAUCUAAAACAGCCAAAUUAAGUUGUAGUCUUAGAUGUAUAAUACAAACCCUAGAUAAAGAAAAUCCGUCUUGCUUAAAAAAAAAAAAUCAAAAUCAUAACUUGCAAUAAAUUUUCAGAAUAGAUAUUACCUGAUUCCUGCAAGUAGCGGAAGACUAGGUAAUUCAAUUCUUCGGAAGUGAUAGAACUCAUCGUUGCACGAAAUUCGUCCGAAUCAAUGGCUGGGAUAAACGGUCAAAAAAUCAUGCGGUCAAGCUCCAGCAACAGUAACAGGACAAAAGGAGAUUUUCUUUUUUUUUUGCUUUUUUUUUUUUUUCUCUCUGUGGUUUUUUAUGAGUCGGGCAAAGCGUGGCCGUUGUUAUAUUUGCAGAGGCGAAGAGGCCUUUGAAACCGCCGUUUAGAAUAGGUAUGAUAAAAGAGCAUUUGUGCGCUCCUUUUUAAGUUCGGGCAACAUUUCACUUAAAAUUUGAACAUAAAGUUUGAUGGUAUCAUUAAAUCUUAUUUUUUAUUUUUAAAAUCACCCUUAAAUUGUGUACGGAUUUAAUGGUUCAAAAUUUAUGAAAAAUUUUAAAUAAAAAAUUUAAGUUGAAAUAACUCCUUCAAUAAUUUUUUUUUCAAUUAAUGUAAACUUAUAAUUGUUGUUACUCAUAGAAGUAGGAUUUUUGACGCUCCUUAUAAUUUCUUAUACAAUCCUUUUCAAUUGAAAUUGCUUAAAUAACAAAGACAAAUUAAUUCAUUUCUUAUUUUAAAUAAAAAUUCAGUUAAGCACUUCAUUAAGAUAUUAUUUUAUAAAAAUUUUACAUCUUGUUUUCAACUGAUUUUAGGGUAAGAAAAACCAAACCAAUCUAGAACAAUAAAUUUGUUAUUUUGAGGGGAGAUGGGGUACCUCACUGGUUUAUUGUGUGUUGGGCGGUGUAUCUGAAAUUCGUGGGAGGUGAGAAGGGGAGAGAGAGUGGUAACAAUGGUGGAAGGUCAGAAACAAGAGAGGUGUCCUUCAAAAUGAGCUUCACGCCUGCAAAAUAGUGUAAUAGAGGUUAGAGGUGAAGCCGGGGUACCCCGGCGUUCACACUCCGACGUUUGGCCCAACGUGUCGUGGGCUGCUGUACCGGACAUUCGCCUUGGCCGUACAGCAGAUUGUAAAAUAUAAGCUAAAGUUUGCAUAAUAAAUACGAAAGCCAAGCUGGCCUCACUACUCUAAUGAAAUUCAGUGACUAAUCUUCACUUCAUACUAAGCGAGAUUCACCGUCACGCACAUAUUUACACAGCAAAAAACAAAGGAAUUGAUGGUCACGCCAUAUCUGCUGCUAACGAAAACUUCAGCUUAAACCAAUCAACAACAAAUACAACCCCACAAUCAAGCAACUAAAUGCAUCCCGUAAUAGCAAACCCUAGGGGAACAUUGCCUGAAACAAACAAACGAAAAUGAAAAAUUAUCACGGCAACAUAUUAAUGACCCUUAAAAAAAAUCAUGAAUGGAUCUAAACACUCGUGCACGUUAUUCCAUAACAGUCCAAAAUACAAAAAUCAGCUCCAAGAUUAUACCUUUUUCUCCCAAUCCAACCCUAACCUAAUUCAACAGUAAUUGAAUAAGAGAAACCAUCUAAAACAGCCAAAUUAAGUUGUAGUCUUAGAUGUAUAAUACAAACCCUAGAUAAAGAAAAUCCGUCUUGCUUAAAAAAAAAAAAUCAAAAUCAUAACUUGCAAUAAAUUUUCAGAAUAGAUAUUACCUGAUUCCUGCAAGUAGCGGAAGACUAGGUAAUUCAAUUCUUCGGAAGUGAUAGAACUCAUCGUUGCACGAAAUUCGUCCGAAUCAAUGGCUGGGAUAAACGGUCAAAAAAUCAUGCGGUCAAGCUCCAGCAACAGUAACAGGACAAAAGGAGAUUUUCUUUUUUUUUUGCUUUUUUU